UUCAUUGACAAUCAACCCAUAACUAGCUACCAAGACAAAAGAGAAAAGAGAAUUCACCAUGAGUUUUCAUUGUCAAGGAAACUGAAAUUUCUUCCUCUUUAUGCAGCUAGCUACCUUGUCUUUCUCAAACUAGUCAUCUUGUUUAAGCUCUUUCGAAAUAAAUGGAAGUAUGAUUUGUAUCAUGAAUAUCAAUUAGGGGACUUGGAUUGCUAAGGUACAAGCUGGGUGUUGAGCUUGGUUUGCUUUUGCUUGGUUCUCUUAGCUGCUGAUUUUGAAGGGUUGAGGGAAACAUUCCAGACAGUUAGAGUGGUAGUUGAGUUUGGAAGACAGGUUCUGCUAUUUAGAAUUUUUUGGAUAUAUGGGUACAGAAUGACACUGUGGGCAGAGCAUUUAGGACUUGUUGAAGAAUGUUUCAAUCAGCCGGAGUCUUGAAUGUGUUCAAAGGGUAAGGUCACUGGAUGAGCAGAAAUGGAGUCAAUACUAGAGCUUCUGCAGGGUCCUUGUCCAUCAUGUGUAGGAUCAAUGGCUUAAGAGAUCAAAAGACUGCUUAUCAUCUUUGCCUACAAGAGAGCUUCUGCAAGAACAAAUGAAGGUGCAUUAAAAGAAAGCAGGAGUAAUCUAUGUAGUUUAGGUCUUCCUAGCUAGAACAUUUUACAAGUACAGACUCAAUCUAUGUUGUCCCUAGCUUGAAUUAUAAGGAUUGUAGUACUGUUUCUAUGGUCAUAUAUUGAGCAUUAUUUCAGGAAAA